UGCCAUCAGUUUUAGGCAGUAACUGUUAGCUGUCGAGAGUACCGGAACAGACUGUGGAGUAUUUCUAUAGAUCUAAAUAUGGUUCGUAAAAAAGGACAGUUUGUCUGGCAUUCGGAAUUCAUACACUAGUGAUCCAUCAGGACUUUAUCCAGUUUCCAGAAUGGCAGGAAGGAAGGACUUGUUGAAUUGGACCACUUGUCAAGGCAGCUUACAAAAGUCAGAAAUUUAAAAGCAGCCACCCCGCGACAGUAAGCUUGUCUACAUUUUCCAUAAAAUUUCCAAAAUAAAUACUGGAAAAAAAAACAUGGAAAUACAUACGACAUUGAUCAACACAAAAUAGCACAGCACCAGAAUGAAUGCGGAAGUUGUCACGAGUGGUGUGGCAUUGUUCCUGUUCGUUGGUUUACAGAUUCCAAAAGUCUGAACCAGAUAUGAGUAGAGUACAGUUUGAGAAAUGUCUUGGUAGAACAGAUACUAAGGAAAUAAUAAAGAGCAGAACAGACCAAAUUUCUCCUUCUUAUAAUGGAAUUUGGACAGUUUAGUUAAACACUUGAACUUUACGUUACAAAUGGAUUUCAUUUCCAUAAGUUUAACUUGUGAUUAUUACUAAGUAAGCAGUUGUAGCUUAUUUAUAAUCUGUCUUUGUUUAUUGAAUCAUUUGAUCAAAUAUAUUUUGAAUUGUGACACAUCUUAAGAUCAUUAAAUUUAUUAAUAUC